rnacentral:rRNA from 1 species
CCUACGGGAGGCUGCAGUGAGGAAUCUUGGUCAAUGGGCGCGAGCCUGACCCAGCCAAGUAGCGUGAAGGAUUGCUGCCCUACGGGUUGUAAACUUCUUUUAUCAGGGAAUAAAGUGAGACACGUGUGCCUUUUUGUAUGUCCUUUCUGAAUAAGAAUCGGCUAACUACGUGCCAGCAGCCGCGGGAAUAAGGAGGAACCGAGCGUUAUCCGGAUUUAUUGGGUUUAAAGGGAGCGUAGAUGGGUUGUUAAGUCAGUUGUGAAAGUUUGCGGCUCAACCGUAAAAUUGCAAUUGAUACGGGCAGUCUUGAGGACAGGUGAGGUAGGCGGAAUUCGUGGUGUAGCGGUGAAAUGCUUAGAUAUCACGAAGAACUCCGAUGGCGAAGGCAGCUUACUAAACUGCCACUGACAUUGAUGCUCGAAAGUGUGGGUAGCGAACAGGAUUAGAUACCCUAGUAGUC